UACGUAGGGUGCAAGCGUUGUCCGGAAUUAUUGGGCGUAAAGAGCUUGUAGGCGGUUUGUCGCGUCUGCUGUGAAAUUUCGGGGCUCAACCCCGAACUUGCAGUGGGUACGGGCAGACUAGGGGUAGGUAGGGGAGAAUGGAAUUCCCGGUGUAGCGGUGAAAUGCGCAGAUAUCGGGAGGAACACCGGUGGCGAAGGCGGUUCUCUGGGCCUUACCUGACGCUGAGGAGCGAAAGCGUGGGGAGCGAACAGG
rnacentral:rRNA from 1 species